rnacentral:lncRNA from 1 species
UCAGUAGAUGCUACCCAAAAAUUGUUCAAAAAUCCAAAACUUCAAAAUUACAUGUUCAAAUAAUAAAAUAAUAAAAAUAAUGUUUUACAACAACUAGGAUGCCUCCCAACAAGCGCUCUUUUAACGUCAUUAGCUUGACCCGGUAAAGCUCAAACACCCAUCAGUACGUGUUGAUUCUCUUUGCCUGAUAUUCUUUUCUUUUUCUUCUUUCUGCUAAAUUUCUUCAGAAAGUUGAGAACACCAAGCACCUGUUUCCAUGUUUCAAUCAUUGGAACUUUAAUCUCCAAUUUCUUGAAGAUCUCCAUAAAGCUCUUAAAUUUCUUUUCCUUCCUAUGAUACUUCUUUGGAUGAGAAAGGGGGUUUUCAUAUGAUAUUUUCUUCUUUUCUCUCUUCCUCUUUUUCUCACUCUUCUCCUCCCUCAACUUUCUCUUUUUAUUUUCUCUUAAUUUCUUCUUUUUUAUUUUCGCACUUUUUUUUCUUUUCUCUCAACCGCUUCUUUUUCUUUCUCCUCAUCUUUCUCUCCCUCAUUCAACUUUUCUAUUUCUUCUCCCUCUACAUCUCUCUAUCUUCUCCCUGACAACGGCGCCAAAAACUUGUUAAGCCCCUAGAAAGUAUACCAGAUCGUAUCAAGUAAUAAUAGACAGUAAGUCUAAGAUCGUUUCCCAAGGGACUCUUAGGCCUUAUCUUUCAUGUAAAUUGAUUGCAUAAGACUUAAAAGAAGAAUAAUUUUGUAGGGUUAAUGCAAAACUAAAUCUAAACAUGCAAAUGCAAGUUUGAAUCAAUUGGAAAAUAAAAGAUAUGUAUGAAUGGGGUUGUUGGGGUUUACAAUUUCAUCCUUAUCCACUCUCUUAUAUCUACUAUUCUUAUUAAAUUCGCUUUAUUAUCAAUGUCAUGCAACUUUCUAAAUUAUUUAAAACACGAUUCCUCAGCGAAGAAAGCCUAUUACCAAUUACUAGUUUACCAUUCCUAGUCUCCCUAGUAAUUACCAACGCCUUAAGUACAUAAGCUUAAAAGCAAUUGAUCGUCCUACUCUUAUUCUUAGGCAGUAUUUCAUAAUAAAGAGAAUUCAAAUCAGUUCUAGAUUUCCCCGU